GCAGGCUUGGAAAACCUUUGAACUCCUCAAGGUAUUAGGGGAUGGCAGAAAGGACAUUAUCUGAUUUUUCUUCCUUUUCCAGUUAAGGUUUAAUUUUGAAGGUGCCCUGUGUCCUCUCUACAGGUGUCCGGCUCCCUAAAGAAUGAACUCUUCCAUCCCCUUCUUCCAGACUGCUGACUAUAGACUCGGAACCUGUGAGGGUCCGACAUCCCCGACACCAUACACUAGAUUGAAAUUUGUUUCCCUUUGUCUUAAGAAAAACUCCUGGGGAUACUGAGGAUACCAAGAGGUUGGUGAAUGAUUGGCAGGAGUACUUGUGGCUCGCUGGGGCGCUGGAAGACCUUGCACAAUGCCUGGAAUUGUAUAUUGUGCACAACCUUGUUUUGACAGAACGAAAGACCUUCAUCCUAUUGCUCACUCGAUGGUUCUAUAAAAGCAAUUUUUCACUCGCAGGCUGUGCAGAGCCAGGUGUGCGUUCCAUAAUACGCCUAUUAUACAGCCAUUCUCAGUAGCCGUGCAUAUACAAUGACCCUUCUGAUUUGCCCCACUACCGAGUGCUUGCCAAGACUUCGGUCCCCACCUGGUACAACUUCAGGAAAAGGCCAAGGUAGCCUUAAUCAGCAUCACUGGGGACCAGUCCAAAGAGAACAGGUCAGAGGAAUACCAGAGUCUACUAUCAACAUGAGGAUUGUAAAUACUUAUAUCCACAAAAGUACCGGGGAUCGAACUCUGGUCCUUGCGCUUGCGCAGCACGCGGCUAAACCACUGAGCUAA
rnacentral:lncRNA from 1 species